rnacentral:rRNA from 1 species
AGAUUGAACGCUGGCGGCAUGCCUUACACAUGCAAGUCGAACGGCAGCACGGGAGCAAUCCUGGUGGCGAGUGGCGAACGGGUGAGUAAUACAUCGGAACGUGCCCAAUCGUGGGGGAUAACGCAGCGAAAGCUGUGCUAAUACCGCAUAAGAUCUACGGAUGAAAGCAGGGGAUCGCAAGACCUUGCGCGAAUGGAGCGGCCGAUGGCAGAUUAGGUAGUUGGUGAGGUAAAGGCUCACCAAGCCUUCGAUCUGUAGCUGGUCUGAGAGGACGACCAGCCACACUGGGACUGAGACACGGCCCAGACUCCUACGGGAGGCAGCAGUGGGGAAUUUUGGACAAUGGGCGAAAGCCUGAUCCAGCCAUGCCGCGUGCAGGAUGAAGGCCUUCGGUUGUAACUGUCUUUGUACGGUAACGAAGUCUCGUUUACUAAGUAAAGAGG